CCAUAGGGAUAGAAAGCUGACGAGUGUUUGCAGGGUUGGGGGGGGUGAGGGGAUGGAGAGUCACUGCUAAUGGGGAUGGGGUCUCCCUUUGGGGUGAUGGAAAUGCUUGGGAACUAGGUAGAGGUCGUGUUGCAGCACGGUGUGCAUGCGCUAAGUGCCGCCGCGCGUGCACUUCAAAACGGAUGACUUUGUGUUAUGUGAAUUUUAUUUGCAUUAAGAAUCAAGGAGGGGAUCUGGGUGGGCUGGCCUUGCACCCUCGGGUAUGAUGUUCUAUUAUUCCGUGUGGCCAGGUCGCUGCCCCUCCCUCGGCUGACAUCCCUAUGUACCAUCCUGACACCCUCGUGGAACCACCCAUCAUAUGGCUCAAUUGAUGGACAAGUCAGGAACCUCACAACUCAAGGUACAGGUGGUACAGGAGGAGGACGUGCUCCAGACCGCACGAGAAGGGUGGACAGUGAAGUGACGGCGUCAGGUCAAGGGCAAUUUGAAGCGUGCUGGCUUGUGACAUGCAAACAGCCACUGUCGCCUGGGCUUGGCCGUGGGAUCUGCCCAGGCCAUUCAGGAAGCACAAGGGGCUUCCUGACACCACGAAUAAUGAGCAGAGAGCAUGGAUUUGCUGAUGAUGGAGGGACCUUCUGAGAAGCAAAACAACAACAAGAAGGAGCCUACGCUUGCCCAAUAAUACAGAUGAUCAGAGUAAGUGGAGUGGACGCAUCAUUAACACCAGCUUGGCACAAUAAUUACAUGCAAAGGGAACCCGUCAGCAAAAAAUGAAAGCAAGAUAAAAGCUGUGUAGUGUCUGGUUUUAAAGGAGGGUCAUGGGUUUCCAAAGUCCGCGCGUGUUUGUGCGCCGAUGCCUGGGCAGACCGUGAGAAGGGCUGGGGGGAGCAGAGGGUUCUGUCCUAGUGCACAAGCAAGCGGCACCACUGUGGGAGCAGAGCUGUGAACAGAGAGGCCUGUGUGGUUCUGAACUAGUUGUUAAACCUUUCUCAGCACCGGUUUGUUCAUUUGUGGUGUGUUUUUAUUCCAAAGGGUUGUAUGAGUAAUUGCCUUGGCCAUUUGGCUGGAAGGGGUAGAAAACUUCAGUUCAAGGUAAAAGGGGGUACUUCUAGCAGCAGUAAUCAUGAUAUGAUACAAAUCAUGGAUUUAUAACCCACUCUGAGGGAGCUUAGCUUCCCAACGUCCAUGCAUUGCUGACCUCUGCCACACUCCAUUCCCAACUCAGCUCACUGCCUGCGGGGACACAUUCUGCACCAGAGGGGAACACUCUCCCCUGGCUCCCUCAGUGCUGUGCCCAGAGAAAUGGGAAGGAUGCCCCUCUACAUUUUCACGGAGUCAGCACUGGGCUUGGGAGGGGCCCCUGCCUCUCUCCCAUACUAUUCCCUCCUCUAGAAAUAGCUUCCCCUCCUUCUGUCUGGCCAAAAACUGCAUAAACUUCAUAACCCAGCACAGCCUUCUUUGCUGCCACUGCAUCACAGCUGUGGCGGCAAGAAUGCAGUCUCUGUGAAGGCAGGGACCACUGUCCACCAUCAUUAUCAUCCUGCAACCCAGCACAGCCCUGACACGUAUCCAAUGUCCAGUAAAUGUGGGUGGGUGGAUAGAAAGAUGAAUGGAGUGAUAGAUGGACGGAUGGAUGGAUGGAUGGAUGGAUGGAUGGAUGGAUGAAUGGAUGGGGUGGUGGAUGGAUGAGUGGGUGAGUGGGUGGAUGGCUGACUGGAUGGAGUG
rnacentral:lncRNA from 1 species